AACCAAGUUUGUUAUUGGUAUGAACUUUUGUGUGCAUGCACACUUCUUCAGAUACCUGAAGAAGUAUCUGAAGAAGUGUGCAUGCACACGAAAGCUCAUACCAAUAACAAACUUGGUU